CACCUACGGGGGGCAGCAGUGAGGAAUAUUGGUCAAUGGGCGAGAGCCUGAACCAGCCAAGUCGCGUGAGGGAGUACUGCCCUAUGGGUUGUAAACCUCUUUUGUCGGGGAGCAAAAGCCGGACGUGUCCGGCUGUGAGAGUACCCGAAGAAAAAGCAUCGGCUAACUCCGUGCCAGCAGCCGCGGUAAUACGGAGGAUGCGAGCGUUAUCCGGAUUUACUGGGAGUAAAGGGAGCGUAGACGGCGAUGCAAGUCUGAAGUGAAAGGCGGGGGCCCAAACCCC
rnacentral:rRNA from 1 species